rfam:Oryza rufipogon genomic scaffold, chr01
CUUCAUGGUUUUCCGCGUCUAACUGUUCGUCUUAUUUAAAAAUUUUUUUAAAAAAAUUAAAAACAUAACGUACUAUUCAUAUUUUAUCAUCUCAUAGUAACAAAAAUGCUAAUUAUAAAAAAAAUUCAAAUAAGACGGACUAUUAAAGUUGAGCACGGAAACUUAAGACAGCACUUAUU